CCACCCCUGCUCUCUGCACCCACGCCUCCCGCUGGGCUCCGUGGGCGCCCAGGUGACAGCCCUGGAGGAGGUGGAGAAGGGGCGGGGAACCUAGAAGGAAAACGGAUUCAGAGGGCGUGAGCUGGGACGAGUGGGCUCGGCGUCCUAGGCCCCGCCCAGGCCGGGUGGGACCCUUUCCACCCGCCCGGACCUAUCCUGCCUAUCCUGCCUGGCUGAGCCAGACGACGUGUACCGGCAGCCUUAAGAAGUUUGCAUCCAUAAGAAGGGACAAGGGUGACAUCAGAGGCAGAUCUGGGACGCGGUCACGACUGAGGACGUUCCGGAGUAGGGAAGAGGGGUCGCUUCUCCAAGGACUCCUGCUUCAGGUUCAAGAGGACUUCCAGGAAGAGGGUGGAGUGGUGAGCCGCAGAGAAAGGACCUCUCUGGGAUCUGGUGUCCCAACAUUGGAACACAGUGGUGUAAGAAGAAGAAGCAGAGAAGUGGUUCCAGGGACCCAGGAAGGAUCCGAAGCGAGAACUGAAGUCCAUGGGGAGGCAAGAGAGAGACUUCAGUGAAGAGGGAGGUGGCAGGCAGUGCUUUGUCCCAGAGUCCGGAUGCACAGCCCGGGAACAGCGGGUCUAACUUCAAAUGCCCAGUGACUACUGGUGCCCCAGAGGCCUCCAUGGAGAGAGGCACCAGUGGAACAGAGCAGUGGAUGCGACAGACUGCAGUGGCUGGUGCAGUUCGGGUUCAGAUGUCAUCCGGGACAGAGCGAUUGACUGGUAGCCAUCUUGGAGAGGGGCCAUUUUAGCUCAGAACCUAGAAAAAAACAGCUGACUCCAUCUAGUGGCUCCUGGUGUCUCUGUGCAAGUGCAGAGUUCAAAUCAGCAUGAAGUCAGGGAGUGGAGUUCAAGCCGGCAGGAGGCACAUGGCCUGUGGCAGGCUUAACAAAUCAGGUUCCUGCCUCACAGCCAGAAACCAGCCUGAACCUCAGUGGAAUUAUAGAUCCAGGCUUACAGGGAAUAUCUACAGCCCCACCAUGAGUCAGUCGCUGGCUUACUGGGAUUAAUCAACUUGGAUCUGGACUCCGUCUGCCCAUAUUGUCUACCCAGUGACAGUAGAGACACACACCUUCAACUGGACUUCUUUUCUUUUUUCCCUUUUUUCUUUUCUUUUCCUCUUUCCUGGUCAUUGUUCUUGUUUUAUUUUUUCUUAAACGUUUGUUCUUGUUUUGACAUGAGUGUGAACGUGGUUUCUAGUUUUUUGUUGUGGUUAUUCUGUUCUUGCUUUUAUUUUUUCCUUCUCUCUUUCCCUCCUGUCCUCUUCACUAGUUUCCCAAAGUUUGUAUGACCUUCCUAUGUGCGCCAGCCUUGCUUCUAAACUCCUCUUUUUCUCUAUGUUUUUCCCUAAAUCUCCCCUUAGGGCAAAAUCACCAUUUGAGAACUUAUUUAUUGCAUAUAAUUUUCUGGCUCAUUCUGGAUUUUUUUAUAUAGCCACAAAUCUAGAUCAGAUGGGUAAAAGUGGCAAAUUAAUAGUUACCACAGUUUGUCAU